rnacentral:lncRNA from 1 species
GGGAAGGAAGGGAGCGGAAAGGCCGAGCGCCACCCGCCCCGGGAGUCUCCAGAGCAGCGCGCGGGGCAGACCUCCUCGGGUCCUCCGGCGCUUCGGUCUCCGGAGACGCCCGGCCUCCUGAAGGGUUCGGCUUGUCCUCCUCUGGCGCUCAGCUCCCUCUGGCGGCCGGGCUGGCAGGACCUCAGCGCCCAGCCCUUCCGUCUUGUUACGUCCAGGGUCUCACUCUGUGUCUCAGGCUGGAGUACAGUGGUGCAAUUGUAGAUGGCUGCAGCCCUCGACCUCCUGGGCUCAAGUGAUCCUCCUGCCUUAGCCUCUCGAGUAGCUGGGAGUACAGAUGCACACCACCACACCCAGCCUAGAAUGAAGAAACCUGCAGUUGGGAAGCAUGAAUUUACCACCUAUUAAGAUCUGGCUGCUGUGUGGAGAAAGAGUGAAGAUACGGAAGUUGGAGGUUCUCGUAGCAAUGCAGAAUUGUGGCUUGCAUUGUAAGAGGAGCCUGUGAAUUCAGAGGCAAGUCUGCUGAGGACCGAAUGUUCCUGUCCAUAAAAACAGAAGUCUGGCCUGGGCUCCUCUCUUGGGUGAAUUUGCAAUGCCAGAUCCUCUCUAUCAGUUUGGUUUUGUUUCUUGUAUCUCUGGGAAGGCAGGCAGACAGCACGGUCACCUGUGAAUGCAGCUACAAUUGGCUUAGCUGCCUCACUGAUAAAUGUGCCCCCAGUAAGCUACAAAGGGAUUACCAGCGUUCUCAGCAGCUAAAGGAACUGGUGAAGAUUUCCCCAGCAAAAAGUAGAAGCUCAGUGUUUCAUAGAUGAAGACUGGGGAGAUUGCAAAAGACCCAUCCAGCAGUGGUUCUCAGACCUCAGUGUGCAUCAGAAUCACCUGGAAGGCUUGUGAAAACACGUAUUGCUGGGCCACACCCCCAGAAUUUCUGGAUCAGUAAAGCUGGGAUUCUUACUUUGAGUAGCCAACUUGCAGAAUACAAUAGAAUUUUGGGAGGAGCCCCUCGAUGCCUGGCUUUACUGUUGGAGAGACAGUACAGUAUACACCAGAUGACUUAUUUGUGAACCAUGGAAACGUUUGGAAAAGGACUGUUUCUGCCAUGCGUGUUACUCAUUGCCAUGGUGCUUAUGACAGUGAAGGAAAGAGUCUCACUUUGUCGCCCAGGCUGGAGUACAGUGGUGCGAUCUUGGCUCUCUGCAACCUCUGCCUCCCAGGUUCAAGUAAUUCUCCUGCCUCAGCCUCCCGAGUAGCUGGUACUACAGGCACACAUUUGUAGAGAUGGUGUUUCCCCAUGUCAUCCAGGCUGGUCUGGAACUCCUGGGAUCAAGUAAUCCACCCGCCUCGGCCUCCCAAAGUGCUGGGAUUACAGACGUGAGCCACCACGCCCUGCCAAUAAAAAGAUUAUCUCCAGAUGCUGGAAUGACCAGUAAUUUAUUUUCUUCCUUUUUUUUUGUCUGCACUUUCUACCAUAAUCAUAUGUUAGCUUCUUACUAAGAAGAAAAGUCAAUGUUAUUUCCCUGAAAAAGUAAUGUUGUUUGGUUAUUAAACAAAUUUAAUUUUCUAAACAAGAGUACGACAGGUAAACUGCCUACCUUAAAAGCAAACGAACACAAAUAAAUAAACUAACCAUCUUCCACUUCA